CGGAAAUUGUUCUUCCUAGAUCUAAUGCAAAAAGCAUUAGUGAUAAAAAGAUCCCUUCUCUAAUGUGUGCAAUUUGCUAAGUGCUGAAAGUGUCUUGGUAGACAAUGACCUUUCUGCUGCCUUAUUACCUCCCCAAGUUAUGGACCAGUCUGACUCAAUUAUUACCUAGGAGGAGGUACAGAGCCUGCUGCUGCUUCUGGCCUGGGAGGGGACAGCUUCAAUGAGGGAGAGAAAUGUCAGUGUUCAGCGGUUCCAUCUCCUGGCAAGCUUUUCAAAACUCCAAGGGUCCAGGAAUCCAUGUUCUAAUUGAGCUGAUUCUAAUUUGCAGCGAGGAUUGAAACCUUGCUGGGUGGUCAGAUAAUUAAAAGGGAGGCCUUCACCUUCAAAGGUCAAGGCAGAGCCAUCCUUGAACAUUAGUUGGCGUCUCACAAAUGAGGAAGGUCUUUUUCAAUUUUUUUUUCAAUUUUCAGGAAAUGAGCUAAACUGGGCUCUUCUAAGUAAUGCUGGGGACACGGCAGGCUGAAGACUUCAUUACUCAGCCUCCCUUUUCAGCUACAAGUGGCCACAUUACUCCACACUGGCCAGAAGGAUGUAAGUCAAAGCGCUACGUGACAAUUCUGUGAACUGUCCCCAAAGGGGGGCAUGCCUUUCUCUCCUUCUGGCUAGAACGAGGAUGGCAUGAAGGGGCUCCAGCUGCCAUCUGGGUCCACGUGAUGACCUUGGAAAUGGAAAGCACAUCCAGUAGAACUACAAGAUGGGAGCUGAGGUCUCUGACAUCACAAUGGGCCAGUCCUCCCUCAGCCAGACCACCUCUGACUAUUUGAACAUGGAAGAGAAAUAAACUUUCUUGUUUAGGCCACUAUUAUUUUGAGAAUUUCUGUGAUAACUGAGCCUAUUGGC
rnacentral:lncRNA from 1 species